rnacentral:misc_RNA from 1 species
AAAAAGGGCUAGAAUCAUAGGAUCAUGAGGUGCAAUGUAUUAGUUUAAUCAGUAAGAGGUAGUGGAAUGACGCCAUUGACAGGGAUCAGGAAGCUCUUGCUUCUCAUCAAGAUCUUUCUGAUCCUUACAACUGGGUUGAUGACCUAUUUCUUCACUUUGAAGCUAAAUAAUUGAAGAUAGGGGAAGGUUCAAUUGGAUGGGAGUUGG